GCAUUCGUAUUUUUAAUCCACACGUCGUCAUGAAGAAGAGGCCAUGUCACGUCCAACGCCCUGCCUCCACUUACCUGCUUGUCUGUGUGUCUUUCCCCUCCCCCAUUCGCUAAUUCUUUCUCUGCCUCCUUUUGUCUCAGGAAGAAAAAAUGUUGAGCAUCCUGGUGCAGCACCGAGUCCGGAGCGGCGUCUCGGGCAACGUGGGCAUGGAGGUGGACGGGCUGCCCUUCCACGGCACCCACGCCCAGAUGAUCCAGAAGCUGCUGGACGUCACCAUGGGGCGCCAGUGACCACACCCAGCACACCGGUGGCGAGUGCCGGAGGCAUUGCUUUCAACCCUCCUUCACCUUAGCCUCUCAGGCCGCCCACGUGGGGUGCUCUGGAGGCCACACGGUAAGCAAUAAAGUACCAGGCAGACCAAGAGCUGUGAGAAGCCCCCAUGCUAACUGUGAAACAGUAAGAUGCACAAAUGUGA